rnacentral:snoRNA from 1 species
GUCAAGGUCUGUCUUGACGGGGUUUUCCUGUAGCCGCUCAUCACUGGAAACGCCUCAGAGUGGCAUGUGGUCUGCCUUGCUCACAGGACUGUUAGGUCCGAGGGGAGGAGCUAUGUUGCAGAG